GGCCGGAUAGCUUAGUAGGUCGAAGCUUUUCCUUUUCCAAUUAAUGAACGCGACUCAGGUUCGACUCCUAGUCCAGCCG
rnacentral:tRNA from 1 species